GGAAGUCAAAGGCCAUAAGGCUAGUUUGGUUGAGAGUUGGUGCAAGGAAAGUUCUGAAUUAGGAGGCAAUGCUUCCAGGAACGACAAAACCUGAGAAACAUCCCAGAAUUGGGUGUAUUGAGGGAGCCGAGGGUCGAGAAAGACAAAUACCCUGUAACAACCUGCAAACAGAAGGAUGUUUCCAAACCGGAAAUGCGUCAAUCGGUAUAUGAGCUGCCAAAAUAGCAGAACGAAGAAUGUUUAUGGUAUGGUAAGACUUUCUUUUGUCAACAGGGGAAGAUAGGAAGUUCAUAAUAUUCACCAAAGUAGUUUGAAAAUGUAUCAAUAUCCCUUUCCAAACACCAGCUAACCCAAAAACGCCAUGUGGAAAGGUAUGCUCUACGAGUUCCG